rnacentral:rRNA from 1 species
GACGAACGCUGGCGGCGUGCUUAACACAUGCAAGUCGAACGGAAAGGCCCUGCUUUUGUGGGGUGCUCGAGUGGCGAACGGGUGAGUAACACGUGAGUACCUGCCCUUGACUUUGGGAUAACUUCACGAAACUGGGGCUAAUACCGGAUAGUAACUCCUGCUGCAUGGUGGGGGUUGGAAAGUUUCGGCGGUUGGGGAUGGACUCCCGGGUUAUCAGCUUGUUGGUGGGGUAGUGGCUUACCAAGGCUUUGACGGGUAGCCGGCCUGAGCGGGUGACCGGCCACAUUGGGACUGAGGUACGGCCCAGACUGCUACGGGAGGCAGCAGUGGGGAAUAUUGCACAAUGGGCGGAAGCCUGAUGCAGCAACGCCGCGUGCGGGAUGACGGCCUUCGGGUUGUAAACCGCUUUCGCCUGUGACGAAGCGUGAGUGACGGUAAUGGGUAAAGAAGCACCGGCUAACUACGUG